rnacentral:rRNA from 1 species
UACGGGGGGGGCAAGCGUCGUUCGGAAUUACUGGGCGUAAAGGGCUCGUAGGCGGCCAACUAAGUCAGACGUGAAAUCCCCCGGCUCAACCUGGGAACUGCGUCUGAUACUGGUUGGCUUGAAUCCGGGAGAGGGAUGCAGAAUUCCAGGUGUAGCGGUGAAAUGCGUAGAUAUCUGGAGGAAUACCGGUGGCGAAGGCGGCAUCCUGGACCGGCAUUGACGCUGAGGCACGAAGGCCAGGGGAGCAAACGGG